rnacentral:rRNA from 1 species
UACGAGGGGGGCGAGCGUUGUUCGGAAUUAUUGGGCGUAAAGGGUGCGUAGGCGGUUUGGUAAGUCUCUUGUGAAAUCUAUGGGCUCAACUCAUAGUCUGCAAGGGAAACUGCCGGGCUUGAGUGUGGGAGAGGUGAGUGGAAUUUCCGGUGUAGCGGUGAAAUGCGUAGAUAUCAGGAGGAACACCAAUAGCGAAGGCAGCUCGCUGGGACGGUACUGACGCUGAGACGCGAAAGCGUGGGGAGCGAACAGG